rnacentral:rRNA from 1 species
GAUGAACGCUAGCGACAGGCGUAACACAUGCAAGUCGAGGGGCAGCACGGUGUAGCAAUACACGGGUGGCGACCGGCGCACGGGUGAGUAACGCGUAUGCAACCUGCGUACUACAAGGGGAUAACCCGUUGAAAGACGGACUAAUACCCUAUAACACAGGGAAUCCGCAUGGAUAUAUUUGUUAAAGAUUUAUCGGUAGUAGAUGGGCAUGCGUUCCAUUAGCUUGUUGGUGAGGUAACGGCUCACCAAGGCAACGAUGGAUAGGGGAACUGAGAGGUUGAUCCCCCACACUGGAACUGAGACACGGUCCAGACUCCUACGGGAGGCAGCAGUGAGGAAUAUUGGUCAAUGGACGAGAGUCUGAACCAGCCAAGUCGCGUGAAGGAAGACGGCCCUACGGGUUGUAAACUUCUUUUGUAAGGGAAUAAAUAGUCUUACGCGCUAAGACGUUGCAGGUACCUUACGAAUAAGGAUCGGCUAACUCCGUGCCAGCAGCCGCGGUAAUACGGAGGAUCCGAGCGUUAUCCGGAUUUAUUGGGUUUAAAGGGUGCGCAGGCGGCAUGUUAAGUCGGCGGUGAAAUUUUGCAGCUCAACUGUAAAAGAGCCUUCGAAACUGGCAAGCUUGAGUGUGGAUGAAGUAGGCGGAAUUUGUGGUGUAGCGGUGAAAUGCAUAGAUAUCACAAAGAACACCGAUUGCGCAGGCAGCUUACUAAACCAUAACUGACGCUCAUGCACGAAGGCGUGGGGAUCAAACA